AUGAUGUCAGCACAAGUAGCGUAAAGGCAGGUGAAAAACCUGCCCGCCGUAAGUCUAAGGUUUCCUGGGGAAGGUUAAUCCGCCCAGGGUUAGUCGGUCCUAAGCCGAGGCCGCAAGGAGUAGGCGAUGGAGAACAGGUUAAUAUUCCUGUACCACCUUUGUGACGUUUGACUGAAGGGGCCCGCAGAAGGAUAGGCGCAGCCGGGCGUUGGUCGUCCCGGUCCAAGCUUUUAGGGGGGCAUGUAGGCAAAUCCGCAUGCCAUUAACCCUGAGGAGUGACGGGGAGCCCGCAAGGGCGAACUGGCUGAUUCCAAGCUGCCUAGAAAAACCUCGUAGGGAGUCAUGAGGGUGACCGUACCGCAAACCGACACAGGUAGACGGGGAGAGGAUCCCAAGGCGAUCGAGAGAACUCUCGCAAAGGAACUCGGCAAAUUGACCCCGUAACUUCGGAAUAAGGGGUGCCUCACUAGGGUGUCACAGCCCGAAGGGGUAGCAUCAAAGCGGCUCAGGCGACUGUUUACCAAAAACAUAGGUGCCUGCAAACUCGUAAGAGGACGUAUAGGCACUGACACCUGCCCGGUGCCGGAAGGUUAACAGGAGGGGUCAGCGCAAGCGAAGCCCUGAAUCGAAGCCCCGGUAAACGGCGGCCGUAACUAUAACGGUCCUAAGGUAGCGAAAUUCCUUGUCGGGUAAGUUCCGACCUGCACGAAUGGUGUAACGAUCUGAGCACUGUCUCUGCGAGAGACUCGGCGAACCUGAGAUACCGGUGCAGACGCCGGUUACCUGCAGCUAGACGGAAAGACCCCGUGAACCUUUACUACAGCUUGGCAUUGGAUUUUGGUCAUUCAUGUGUAGGAUAGGUGGGAGGCGUUGAAGCCAUGCCGCUAGGUGUGGUGGAGCCAGCCUUGAAAUACCACCCUUGGAUGUCCGGGAUUCUAACCGACUUGUUAAUCCGCAAGCGGGACAAUGUCUGGUGGGUAGUUUGACUGGGGCGGUCGCCUCCCAAAGUGUAACGGAGGCGCCCAAAGGUUCCCUCAGGCUGGACGGAAAUCAGCCUUCGAGUGCAAAGGCAUAAGGGAGCUUGACUGUGAGACCGACGGGUCGAGCAGGUACGAAAGUAGGGCUUAGUGAUCCGGUGGUUCUUCGUGGGAGGGCCAUCGCUCAACGGAUAAAAGGUACUCCGGGGAUAACAGGCUGAUCGCGUCCAAGAGUUCACAUCGACGACGCGGUUUGGCACCUCGAUGUCGGCUCAUCGCAUCCUGGGGCUGAAGUCGGUCCCAAGGGUUUGGCUGUUCGCCAAUUAAAGCGGUACGCGAGCUGGGUUCAGAACGUCGUGAGACAGUUCGGUCCCUAUCUGCUGUAGGCGUUGGAGAUUUGAGGGGAGCUGUUCCUAGUACGAGAGGACCGGAAUGGACGAACCUCUGGUGUUCCAGUUGUUCUGCCAAGGGCAACGCUGGGUAGCUAUGUUCGGAACGGAUAACCGCUGAAGGCAUCUAAGCGGGAAGCCAACCCCAAGAUGAGAUCUCCCGUGACUUAAGUCACCUCAAGGUCCGUGGAAGACCACCACGUUGAUAGGCUGGAUGUGUAAGCACAGCAAUGUGUUCAGCUAACCAGUACUAAUUGACCGUGUGCCUUGACCCC
rnacentral:rRNA from 1 species